CGGGGAUCAUGAUGAAGGGGUAGCCGGGAUACGGUGGCCCCUUAAAGAGCCCUCCAUCUUGCCUCUUGGCCGCUAACAUGGCGGGGCGGCGAGGGGACAGCGGCGGCCGCGCGGAGCGGGAGAGACAACAUUUGCCAAGCCCAGGAAACAGAUAAAAAACCCCACCAGCCCGAGGGGCUUUUCCUACCUCGGAAUCGGAGGAGCUGUUUUGAUUCGUUUCUGAUUCAUUGACUAGAGACGAUUUGACAUCAGCUAAAUCCCUCUCUGCCGAGGAGUUUUCGGAGCUCUUCUCCUCCUGUUCGCCCUCGUCUUUGAAGGAAAUCAGUUCGUCGUUGGCGCCUAGGUCAUCCCCUCCACCGCCGUUCAGCUGCGGCAUUUUUUUUUCACCCACCAGCAGCAAUUUUGGAAGAAAAAUGAAGGAGGAAGAAAAGCCAAAAAAAAUCACCCCCAAAAAGUUUUGCCCCCCCAAAAAAUAUUGCAAG
rnacentral:lncRNA from 1 species